AGACUUGGCAGGGGAGAUAGCAUGAUCACAAAGGUGGUUUUCCCAGGGCGAAAUUUAUUCACUGCGCUCUGGAUGUGCUGACCUCUAUGACUUCCACCCAAGGGGGAAGCUUGACUGCUUAGUUUGUUGUAGCAGGCGACUGUGUUCACACUUUCUCUGG
rnacentral:snRNA from 1 species